CAGUGCCUCAUGCAUGCUAGGCAAGUGCUUUGCCACUGAGUUUCAGCCCAUCCCAUAAAGUCUCUUUUUUACUGGUGUCCCCUACCAAUAGAAUGUAAGUCUAAUGCUGAUGAAGGCCUUCUUGCCACCACCUGGGCAGGAAGUACACAGGCUCUGAGGCAGGUUAUUUCUGCUUUGUGGGAGACCAGUAUACAUGGAGUGGAAGGGAAAUAGUAGGAGGUGAGGUUACAGAGAGUAGAUUUUCUGAACCGUAGACAAUCAGUGGAAAGCGGCUAGAAGAAAGAGAAUAUUGUUGACAUUUAUAUACGAGCCUGGAUCUAGCCAUACCUGAAAGCCAAAACUGUUUUUGGUUACAUAAGUCCAUAACUAACAUUUUUCUUUUUUCCUCUCCCCCCACCACCUGACAACAUCCUGAAUUAGCUCAUGUCAUACUUGAAAUGUGCUGGUACAUACAUACCCUUAAUCCCAGCGGCUCAGGAGCCUGAAGCAGGAGGACCGCAAGUUCAAGACCAGCUUCAGCAACUUAGCAAGGCCCUAAGCAACUUGGUGAGAACCUGUCUUUAAAAAAAAAGGGCUAGUUAGGGAGGUAGCUCAGUGGUGAAGUGCCUCUGGGUUCAAUCCCCAGUACCCCGCCCCCACCAUAGGAUUACAAUGAAAACUAAAUCAUCUUUCCACCCUUGACCUCCUCUCUUCCUCCCCAGAGGAAGUGUUAAUAGUUUCUUGCAGAGAUGCUCUGUGUACCUGGAACAGUCCAACAUUUACAUGCAUUCAAACUAGCUAGAGAGAGAAAAAAGGGAUUUACUGGCUUCUUACUGAAAUGUCAGGGGCGAUAACUUCAGGUAUGUUUCUAUCCAGCUGCUCAAAGAACAUUCUCAGGAUUCUGGCUCCCUGUCACUCUGAGCUCCUUGCUCUCUGUGGGUUUGUUGUUAGGCCAGCCUCUCCAUGGGCUGACAGGUCACUGCCAGGAGGGUAAAGCUGUUAGUUCCUUGCAGCUCCCCGGGAAAGUGAGUGUUCCCUUAUGGCUCUAGUCAAGUCUCAGGGGAAACUUUUCUUUUUUUUUUGGUACCAGGGAUUGAACCCAGGGGUACUUAACCACUGAGCCACACCCCCAGCCCUUUUUGUUUUUUAUUUUGAGACAGGGUCCCUCUAAGUUGCUGAGGCUGAUCUCAAACUUGUGCUCCUUGAGUAAUGUGGACUUUAAAUGUUCAUAUUUGGCAUGCAUUUCACUGCAUGUAAAUUACAUUUUGAUAAAAAUGUUUUGUGAAAAGUAACAAGGGGUUAUUUUAAUUUCAUCUUUGCAAUUUUUUUGUUGUUGUUGUUGUUGGUGUUGGGAUUGGAACCAGGGCUUCACACAUACUAGGCCAGUGUCCCACCAGAGCUACACCCCAGCCCUCAUCUUUACAGUUCUGUGCUCUUAAUAUACAGCCGAAACCAUAGCAAUGUAUACUAAAAUCGCAGUUUGAGAUGGGCCAGCUUAACACCGACUGCGUAUGAUCAUAGCUCUUGAGACAAACCUGCUCUUGCCCUCUCUGUGUGCUGUCUAGACUCCUGAUCCAGGCGCUGUGGAUUAAGACCAGCCUAGGGUGGGUGUGCACUUGAAAUUGUGCAUCCAAUCCACAUCUCAAGGGUGUACAUGUUAUACUCAAUUUAAUGAUGGGGGCUGGUCUGUGGGGGCUGCUUGGUCCAGGUGAAGGUGUGACAGGUCUCUGGCCCAAAGGAGCUUUUGGAAUAGUUUUCCUGCCAACUGUGACCUUGACACUGACAAGGGGAAGGUGCUCAGGUACUAGAGGAUGUUCAAGACUCAAGGUGAGCCACAUUUCUCAUCCCUGACUUGCAGGUGGCCAGGCUGCGUUCACCAGUCCAACCUGGUGUUGGAAAGUAAACUACUUAAAAUCCCUUGCUUUCUGAGAAUGGGACAGAACAUUCAGGACACUAAAAAUUCAUGUGGGUGGAUUAGCCUAUAGGUAGAUAAUCAAAAUGGAUUAUGAGACUCUGAAAUAAAUAGAAUUGAUUGAUGGUAAAGAAUUAAGCCAGAAAAAUGGUUGGACAGAAUAAUGAAUACAGAAAGAGAGCUUCAUGCCUCUGAAACCCUAGACUCUGACCACAGUGCUAUUUAUUUUAAAUCAGGAGAGAAAAGAAUUUCCUAAACUUAGCUGGUG
rnacentral:lncRNA from 1 species